rnacentral:rRNA from 1 species
UACGUAGGGUGCAAGCGUUAAUCGGAAUUACUGGGCGUAAAGCGUGCGCAGGCGGCUAUGCAAGACAGAUGUGAAAUCCCCGGGCUCAACCUGGGAACUGCAUUUGUGACUGCAUAGCUAGAGUACGGUAGAGGGGGAUGGAAAUUCCGCGUGUAGCAGUGAAAUGCGUAGAUAUGCGGAGGAACACCGAUGGCGAAGGCAAUCCCCUGGACCUGUACUGACGC